AGGAACAGACCAGUGCUGGCUGCCCCCAGGUCACCGGGGCUCAAGGCCGAUCCUGCAUUUUCAGCCAGGCCCGUAAGGACUCUGUCCCGCCACAGGCAUGCAGAAGCAACAGAAGUGCUUUGAUUUUUCCUUUUUAAAAAUGUCCUCCAGGCUGACCCUACUACCUAUGCUCUCACUGCAGGGUCAGCAGAGGGUGAAAUGAGAGCAUGCUCCGGGAAUUUCCUGACUUCUGUGAAUUUUUCUCAAGAUCUGGCCAUGAGUCAAUGUGAUGCACAGUGAUACAUGAGACUGCGAGUGGGGAUGAGAAGAGGAAUGGAGAAUCGAGAAUUGUUCAGAUCUACAAUGCCCUGACAACAUCUGAGAACCUAGAACACUCCCUAAAAGGCCCAAGGACACUGGACUAGGUCCCUGGGCCAGUUGGAGGAAGCCUAAGCCGGGAAGGAAAAUCUCAACUGCAAGCAAAAGCUCGCAGAGCUCUUACACCUCCUGCCCUUCUGAGGAAAGGAGGCGACAAUUGGCCAACGGCUAUUUGCUUGCUGAGGUGCGGGCCCCUGGGGCAGGCCUGCCAGGAGGGAAGGGGUCUGGUCGGAGCCCCAGACGUCCCUGAGCCCCAGGCAGGCCUCUCCUACUGGCAGGCUCUCCGUGCUGGAGUCCACCUAGCUAUAAAAUGAGCAACACAGCAUUCUGCCCUCCCUCAGGUGGGCCGUGAGGUUUAAUUAUUGUAAAUUUGUGACAUGUUUUAAGGUCCGUGGAGUAAAGCGUUUGCAUGAGAAAAUGCCCACAUUCUGCAGUGUGGAAUUCCGCGCGUCAUGUUUCCUGUCACUGACCUCCCCUUUGUGUUACAUUACUUGGAACGAGGACCAUGAGCUAUGAGGUCAUCAGAAUAAGUAAUUUCUUGGCCUACUUUUCUUUACCUAAAAAAAAAAAAUUCUUCUUCUAAUUCUGGUUUUUUGGUUUUUUUUUUUUUUUUUUUCCCCUUUUUAAUGCAGCCAAAAGUUUUUUCCUCCGAGUGUAUAGUAACAGAACAGGAGCCAGCCGGUUGGAAAUGGACCGACCCUUUCCAUCUUGGUGUUUUCUCGUGGUCUCACGUCUGCCUCUCAUUGCCUUUGCUCCCUACCUCCA